rnacentral:rRNA from 1 species
GUCCUAGCCGUAACGAUGGGCACUAGGUGUGGAGGUAUUGACCCUUCCGCGCCGAAGCUAACGCAUUAAGUGCCCGCCUGGGAGUACGGCCGCAAGGCUAAACUCAAGGAAUUGACGGGCCCGCACAAGCGGUGGAGCAUGUGGUUCAAUUCGACGCAACGCGAAGAACCUUACCAGGGCUUGACAUCCCACGAACCUGCCUGAAAGGGCGGGUGCCCGCAAGGGAGCGUGGAGACAGGUGGUGCAUGGCUGUCGU